GACAGAGGAGGCAAGCGUUGUUCGGAAUCAUUGGGCUUAAAGCGCGCGUAGGCGGCCUUGUAAGUGUCUUGUGAAAUCCCACGGCUCACCCGUGGAACUGCAGGGCAAACUGCAAGACUUGAGGUCGGUAGAGGCGCCUGGAACUCUAGGUGGAGCGGUGAAAUGCGUAGAUAUCUAGGGGAACGCCGGAGGCGAAAGCGGGGCGCUGGGCCGAUUCUGACGCUGAUGCGCGAAAGCGUGGGGAGCAAACAGG
rnacentral:rRNA from 1 species